ensembl:lncRNA PURPL p53 upregulated regulator of p53 levels
GUGGUGACCUGGGAAUCAAUGUGUGAGGUGGUGCUAUGUAGCAGGAACCCCUCUUGCUUUGCAAAUAGUUUUUUGUUUGUUUUCCUUUUUGCCCAAUAGAGCCCUGCUCUACUGACCCUUCAAUGUGCCCGUGUGCCUAAAUAUUCCUGGUCGUGUGAAAAGAACCCAGGUAUUAGCUGAACUAAGGAGCACAAUUCUGCAACAUUUUGGCACCCAAACACGGGGCUUGAGAAAUGAAUGCAAUUGGAGAAACUGGUUGUUUUACCAGGCGUUGAUUGGAAAUGUGUGCUUCCCUUUAAGCAGUCAAGCUCAACUUGCAGAACUGAUGGGAACCCCUUGGGAAAACUGGCCUCAAAUGUUUGUCUACACAGUCCACAUACAGGGUUCUUAACCUGCGACUGACCCUGCUUGUGCCUGUGAACCAACCAACAAUCUCUGGCUGCAGCUCAGAAAGGACAAAAGAGAAUGGAUGAGGGAAACUUCCCAGGGCUUGUCUGGGUAUGCCCACAGUGGACUGGAGCCCAAAAUGCACACUGGAGGAAGUGGAUGGAGCCACGUGGAUGUCAUGCCUUAUGCAGGGGAGGAGCCUGCUCUCUUCAGCUCCUGUGGUAAUGUGGGAAUCGAUCUGUGAGCAUAUUUAACUAUCCGGCUAUUUUGGAGAUUGAAAAAAGAAGACCUGAUUUAUCAUGUGCAAUAUCUCACACAUCUGUCAUUUCUAUUCUACCGCAAUUCGAUGGAGUCUUGUUCUGUGGUCCAGGCUAGAGGGCAGUGGCAUGAUCUCGGCUCACUACAAGCUCUGCCUCCCGGGUUCACGCCAUUCUCCUGCCUCAGCCUCCUGAGUAGCUGGGACUACAGGCGCCCGCCACCACGCCUGGCUAAUUUUUUGUAUAUUUACUAGAGAUGGCUAGUGUUAGCCAAGAUGGUCUCGAUCUCCUGACCUCGUGAUCUGCCCACCUCAGCCUGCCAAAGUGCUGGGAUUACUGGCGUGAGCCACCGUGCCUGGCCAGCAUCCUCUAAUUAUUAUUCAUAGUUUGUGAAUUUAGGCCUACGUGAAUAAUAAUAUAAUAUUUACUAUGAUGUUACUAUCUACCAACCUUAUUUUUCUUUUCUAUAAAAUAGGAGCCAAAAUAAUAUUUAUGUCAUACCUUAUGAAGUUAAAAUAAAAUAUAACGAAUGAGGGGCUUAACAA